rnacentral:lncRNA from 1 species
GGGCUACAAGACCACAUCAGGAAGCAAUCUCGGCUCGUUAAAGAGUUUGCACACCUGGUGAGCACCGAUGCUCGAUUUGAGCUUUGUGCAGAGGCAAUAUACAGCCAUGCGUGCUUCAGAUUAAAGAACUCUGACAAUGAAACAAAUCGACAUCUUCUGAACCAGAUUAACAUGACACGAAAAGUAGUCUUGACGGGAUCUGUGUUCAAGGGAAAAUAUAUUCUUCGUUUCGCUGUAUCCAGUCCCUUCACUGAAAGCAAGCAUGUAGAGUUUGCUUGGAAGAUAAUCACGGAAGCAGCGAAUGAACUCAAAGGAGCAGAUACUGACGGUCUAAAAGAUUGAGAAAUUCAAAACCAAUUGGUGAUAUUAAGUGAAAUACUGUAUAUUUGUGUGAUAAAUGUGACCGAAAACAUUUUGCAAAGUGUACUUUCCUGGACCAACGCAGAAUUUCUGUUGUCAUUUUACACAUUAUUAUCCUCGCCAAAGUUCCAUGUUAUUGAUAUAAGAAGAGGACAAAUGGAAUCAUAUAAGACAUGUUAUACUGGCAGAUAAAAUGAAAUGAAGAGGUGAGAAAGUAGAUCGUCGGAAGUAAAAGUAUUAUUUCUAAGAAAGGGUAUAGUCCUUAAUACUUCAUUCAUUUAUUAUUGGAAUGAAAUCUUAAAUUGUAAUAAAAUAUUGAUUACACACAUCUAAUUUAAACGUUUUUGGAGGUAAUAACUUUUAUAGGAACUGUCUUCAUGCAUUUUUAAAAUUUUAUUUAUUACCAGAUAUCACUGUCAGGUACAAGUACAAGGAAUAGUACAUCACAUAUAAACAAAAUAUUUGGUAAUUGCAUCUAACAUACUAGCAAAAUGCUAAUCGAGGUUAGCCCCAAAUAAUGUCAUUACCAUACUUUAAACAUUAAUUUUCACUAAAUCUCAAUAUUGUACAUAAAAGUCAGUACUAAUUCUACUUAUUACUAUUGCAGAAAAUUUCGAUAAUUUUUAGUGAACACAUUUACACUAUAUUUACAAGAAAAAAACAUCUUAAUUAUUCACAAAAUUAUUGUUGGAAUAAAAUUUUAGUUGUUUUUUUCGUACUGAAAUAUUAAUUACUAGUAAUUUCUAUAGAGUGCCAAAGCGAUGACGUCAGUUGAAAUGGCGGCCUGGUUCUAAACAAAUGAACUCCGAGCGUGUUUCUCAUAAGCACUGCGACUAUGUUUAGAACAGCCGGUUCGUUGUCAUGACAGUAGAGUCACACUUGGAAUUUUAUACAGUAACUUUUUGAAUUAACAUGAUUAAUAUGUUAAUACUACAUGCACUUAUCAUUGGAAUGAAAUUUUCAAUUGUGUGUAAUAAAAUAUUUGAUUAUACACGUGUAUCUUAAACCUCUUUGGAGCCAGUACAGUAACUUUUUUAAAUUAAUAUGUUAAUACUUUAUUAUUAGACUGAAAUUUUAAAUAUUUAGUACUGAAACAUAUUGAUUACGAACAGUAACUCUUUGAAUUGAGGUGUCGGAGUGAUACUAAUGUACAUGUAUUUCUAUUGGAAUGAAAUAUCAGAUUGUAAUGAAUAAUUGAUUAUCAUUUCUAGACUAGUACUCGUUUUUUUUUCUAAUAAAUUUCAAGUAUUUUUUAUAUCUUUUGUCCAAUGUAGGUU